UGGGGAAUUUUGGACAAUGGGGGCAACCCUGAUCCAGCAAUGCCGCGUGAGUGAAGAAGGCCUUCGGGUUGUAAAGCUCUUUUGUCAGGGAAGGAACGGUUCUGGAUAAUACCUAGAGCUAAUGACGGUACCUGAAGAAUAAGCACCGGCUAACUACGUGCCAGCAGCCGCGGUAAUACGUAGGGUGCGAGCGUUAAUCGGAAUUACUGGGCGUAAAGCGUGCGCAGGCGGUUAUAUAAGACAGAUGUGAAAUCCCCGGGCUCAACCUGGGAACUGCAUUUGUGACUGUAUAGCUAGAGUACGGCAGAGGGGGGUGGAAUUCCACGUGUAGCAGUGAAAUGCGUAGAGAUGUGGAGGAACACCAAUGGCGAAGGCAGCCCCCUGGGUCGAUACUGACGCUCAUGCACGAAAGCGUGGGUAGCAAACA
rnacentral:rRNA from 1 species